GACGAACGCUGGCGGCGUGCUUAACACAUGCAAGUCGAACGGAAAGGCCCUGCUUUUGUGGGGUGCUCGAGUGGCGAACGGGUGAGUAACACGUGAGUAACCUGCCCUUUACUUUGGGAUAACUUCAGGAAACUGGGGCUAAUACCGGAUAGGAGCUCCUGCUGCAUGGUGGGGGUUGGACAGUUUCGGCGGUUGGGGAUGGACUCGCGGCUUAUCAGCUUGUUGGUGGGGUAGUGGCUUACCAAGGCUUUGACGGGUAGCCGGCCUGGGAGGGUGACCGGCCACAUUGGGACUGAGAUACGGCCCAGACUCCUACGGGAGGCAGCAGUGGGGAAUAUUGCACAAUGGGCGGAAGCCUGAUGCAGCAACGCCGCGUGCGGGAUGACGGCCUUCGGGUUGUAAACCGCUUUCGCCUGUGACGAAGCGUGAGUGACGGUAAUGGGUAAAGAAGCACCGGCUAACUACGUG
rnacentral:rRNA from 1 species